rnacentral:pre_miRNA from 1 species
AGAGGGAUAGCUGGGUCAAAUGGUGGUUUCAUUCCCAAUUUUCCAAGAAACCUCCAUAUUGCUUUCCAUAUUUGCUGUACCAAUUUGCAGUCCCACCAGCAGU